UACAGAGGUCUCAAGCGUUGUUCGGAUUCAUUGGGCGUAAAGGGUGUGUAGGUGGCGCCGUAAGUCGGGUGUGAAAUCUCGGAGCUUAACUCCGAAACUGCAUUCGAUACUGCCGUGCUUGAGGACUGGAGAGGAGACUGGAAUUUACGGUGUAGCGGUGAAAUGCGUAGAUAUCGUAAGGAAGACCAGUGGCGAAGGCGGUCUCUGGACAGUUCCUGACGCUGAGGCACGAAGGUCAGGGAGCAAACGGG
rnacentral:rRNA from 1 species